rnacentral:rRNA from 1 species
AUACGGAGGGUGCAAGCGUUAAUCGGAAUUACUGGGCGUAAAGCGUACGUAGGCGGUUCGUUAAGUUAGAUGUGAAAGCCCCGGGCUUAACCUGGGAACUGCAUUUAAAACUGGCGAACUAGAGUUGAGUAGAGGGGAGUGGAAUUUCAGGUGUAGCGGUGAAAUGCGUAGAGAUCUGAAGGAACACCAGUGGCGAAGGCGACUCCCUGGACUUGAACUGACGCUGAGGUACGAAAGCGUGGGUAGCAAACGGGAUUAGAUACCCUAGUAGUCC